GUGUUUUCCCUCGUUUCCCUCCUCGUGUUCUUCGUGGGAUCUUCUCCUUUCGUGAAAGGUCGGAUGAUUAGGGUUCUUCCCUACAUCAUCUUGGUAUCUAGAGCCACGUUGAUCAUGAUUUCGGAGCCUCCCCAUUGUGUUGGUAGCCUAGUUUUUGUUGAUUUUGUCCCUAAUUCGAAAAUUCCCCACAAAAAUAGCACCAAUUUAUUUUGUGAUUUGUUGGUGUGUUGAAAUUUUGUUGGAUUUGAUAUGUGGAUUUGCUUUUCCUUGAGUGGAUCUAGCUUUUCCCCCUUGUCCCCACCCUUUCCAUCCACGAAAUCGCCCGGAUUCGACGAAUUUCGACCUCUCCACCUCGUACACAUGUUGUUCUUCCCGUGCCCGAAAAUUGCCCAGGCACCAGACGUCCGACCCCUACCGGACUUCCGACGACCGGACGACCAGCCCAGCCCGGACGUCUGACGAUCACUGGCGAAACUGAAUUUUUUCAGUAUAGUCACCACCACCGCCACACUUUUCCGCAUACGCCCCCCACCACCACCUAUACACCAUCACCACUCCCACAUACCAUCGCCAUUGCUCACCCAUUUCGCACUCCGACGCGUGUUGCCACUUCGAGCUUUGAGAAUUUGAGUUGCGGUUCCGUGUCCUUUUGUGUUUCGGCUAUCUAGGUAUAGUUAGACAUCAACAUCACCACUGCUCAUCUUCGCCAUGGACGCGUCAUCAACAACGACCACCUCGACUACAUCUUGGUAUUCAUGCCACCAUUUUGACACCAUACCGUAAGCAAGAACGGUAACCUCGUCUUGGUAUUGGACGUAUCACUCUUGCCAUUACUUUGAUAGCCAUCAUAGCCUUACUCCUUUGCGUUGCUUACCCUUCAAGACUAGCUUUUGAGUAUUGCCGGCAACGAGACUUGUGCACAUUAGUAAUCAUACUUCCCAUAGCAUACAUACAUAGUUGUUGCAUAUCUUGUUAUCAUCUCUUGUAUCACAAGGUUGUCAUCGCCUACACAAUUGCUAUCUUGGUUCGUGAAGCAUUGCAUGAGAAAAGAGCUCAAACAACAAAGAGCUAGACAAGCUUUUAAGCAAAAGGGAAAGAUAAGUAAAGAGCUUUUAAGCAAGAACCAUAGCAUCAUACAACAUUAAGAUUAUCAUAUUAGAUCAUCUUGGAUCAUAUCAUAGAAACACCUUGCAUAGAGCAUACUUGGGAUAGAAGUCGUUGCAUUUUUGCAUAGUAGGUUGUGCACAAGUCUUUGUAUCCACCUAUUGUGCAAUCGUGCCAGCGUCUUUCUAGUGUUGUGCAAAAAGAGCAUUUUUGUGGGUUCCAUAUUUUGGCUCACCCUUGGUUGCACGACCCCACUUAUCUUUUUGCGUGUGUGUUUCCGUGUACCUUAUAUUGCUUGGUCUACUUGUUGCAUUGCAAUCUUGCGAAUCUUUUCCAACAUUAUUGAAGCUCACUUACAAUUGCAUCAAAUUUUGUGCCACCAUCCUAACCAAGCUCCACCAUAAGCUUUUACUCAUGUAGGUGUGAGAAACCGACAAGAAUUGGUACCAAUUGUGCUAUUUCCUUGUCCACAUUGGAGCGAUCAUUGAUCCAAGCCGGGGGUUUGGUGCGACAUAUGCCAAGGGAUGGCUAAUCAUGAUGGGGGCUAGUAAGAUGUCGCCGGUGCCAGGAAACAGGAUGAGGCGAAGACAUGCACACCGACGAAUCUUACCCAGGUUCAGGGCUCUCCUAGGAGAUAACACCCCUAGUCCUGCUCUGCGGGGUCUCUGCAUGAUCACUAAGGCACUAGUAAGUACAAUGGUGCUCCUCGAGCUCUAUGCGAGAGGUGGAAGAAGGCAGGGCUAGCUUUCUCCUCUAUCUAUGUGUGUCUAGAUCUAACAGUGUUGGGAACCCUUUACAUGGGUGCCCUGGGGGUUUAUAUAGGCCUACCCCCCAGGGGUACAAUGGUAAUCUUGCCGGGUGUAGGACCCGAUUGUCAGUGUCUUCGGUCGCCGGCUCCUCUGCCGACCGCUGGGGCCCUCCGCCUGGCCUGGUACGGAGCCAACAGGCCGCCUCCAGCGCUUGCGGAUCUGGCUGGCUGCUUGUUAAUGUAGCUGUAAUGCUAAUGACGCAUGCUUGGUCGGGGGGGCGUGGCUACAGUCCUGCCGUCUGGUGGGAGAUCACUAUAGCCACGCUGUGUCUCCUUUGGUUGAUGGCGCAUGGACCCCGAGGAAAAGGUGGGCCGCCUUCUGGAGGCCAGCCCCCCUCGCGUCCGGCAGGUCAGGCGCUGCCGCCCUCUAGGCUCUCGCUACCUAGUGGGGCCCGCCGCCUGCAGGUCGUACCGACAGGCCGUCGUGGGAACAGGGUUCCGCCUGACAGGGGCGACGUCAAGGGUAGGAUGACAACAGUGUCGCGCCGUCCGGAGAUCCCGGCCGGUACGAGACACUAUGGCCACGCCCUGCUAUGGAUAUGGGGGUGAUGGCUACGCUGUAGCCUCACCCCAUCUUGUCUUUUUGAUGGGGCGCCGUGGGCCGCCUGCCAAGUGUCGGCCUCUCUGGUGGCCGCUUGCUGGGAGGCGGAUCGUCUUGGGGCCGUCUUCUGGUACUUUGGCCGUCCUGUGGCAGCCGGCCGAUUUGAGCCAGCCAGCCGCCAGAAGGCAGCGCUUCGUCCUUGACGCUCGUUGGGCACAACCGACCCAAAUGUUUGGAAAUGCUCAGGGACCCAGGUGGGGCUACCCAUGGCCCAUUACUCUGACAGUAGUCCCCAAAGCUGGUUAGGCGGCGCGGUUGAUAAGCCAAGGCGCCUCAGUAGUUUCCUUCUCCAAAUGCCCUUGCCGAAUGCUUCAUCCGCCCUCUGGUAUGCUGCCUACUGGAAGUCGGCCAUGACCAGGCGGACGCGUUUGAUGAUCCCGAACUCCCGCCCCAAUACUGGGUGGCGUCGAGGUUAUCUCACCAAUGAACUGCAUAAAAGAGAUUUUCGAUGUCGGCGUACUAAACUCAGGUAUUCCAGAACUGCAACGAUAAAAUUAUGAUGACAACACCUCAGAGCUCAACUCCUUGGGACACUUCCACUAAACCCCUGACAGGAGGCACCAAGACAAUGUUCUCAUCAUAAAACCAUUGGAACGAUUCCGAGAUACCCGCGUGAUCCUAAAAAAAAUUAGUGAAAUUUGAGAAGAGAAGAGUAAAAACUCUACGUCAGGAUGCCUUACCAGAGCGAUGAGGAGACUGGGAAGUAAAAAGAAUUCCUAAUCUCUCCGAUAUAUAAUUCCUAAAAGACUCAAAACAUUUUUCUAGACACAACUCGGCCGCUAAUAACGAUCAAGCAAUGGGGCUCCUAAGGUCGGGGAAGGCUCUGAUUACUAACUUGUAACACCCUCGAUGCGACUAUAUCUCCCACGUGUCGAGGCACGACUUAGAGGCAUAAUCGCAUUGAAAGGCAUAUGUCGCAAGUAAGGCAAUCUUCACAACAUCCCAUGUAAUAUAAAUAAUAAAGGGGAGAUAACAUAGUUGGCUUACACUCGCCACGUCAAUCAAGGUACAUAAAUAACAUUACAUCAUCCAAACACUCAUGGCCCGACUACGGCGCCAAAAUAAAAGAUAACCCAACAAGUGACACGGCCCCAAUCACCCCCAACUGGGCACCACUACUGAUCAUCGGGAAAGGAAACAUAGUAACGUUGAGAGUCUUCGUCGAACUACCACCUGAGCUCAUACGCGUCUCUUGGAGCAGAAUCAUCAGGCCCUGCAUCUGGUGUAAUAGUAAUCUGUGAGCCACAGGGACUCAGCAAUCUCGCACCCUCGCGUUCAAGACUAUUUAAGCUUAUAGGUAAGGCAAGGUAAAACAUGAGUGGAGCUGCAGCAAGCGACUAGCAAGUAUGGUGGCUAACUUAUUCGCAAAAGAGAGCGAGAAGAGGAGGCAAAGCGCGAGUGAGAAACUAGAGAGCAACCUGCGCAAACAUUACUCCAACACCGUGUCCACUUCCCGGACUCCGCCGAGAAGAGGCCAUCACGGUAACACACUUGGUUGAUUCAUUUUAGUUAAGUUAAGGUUCAAGUUAUCUAAAACCGGACAUUAACAAACUCCCAUCUGCCCAUAACCGCGGGCACGGCUUUCGAAAGUUCAAUCCCUGCAGGGGAGUCCCAACUUAGCCCAUGACAAGCUCUCACGGUCAAUGAAGGAAUAGACCUCUUCCCAAGAUGUUCCGAUCAGACUCGGUAUCUCGGUUACUCAAGACACUUCGACAGGUUAAAACAAGACCAGCAACACCGCCCGAAUGUGCCGACAAAUCCCGAUAGGAGCUGCACAUAUCUUGUUCUCAGGGCACACUCAGAUGAGACAUCCUACGAGUAAAACAAACCAUCAAGUUGCCCCGAGGUGGCCCCGCAGUCUACUCGGUCGGACCAACACUCAGAGGAGCACUGGCCCGGGGGGGUUAAAAUAAGAUGACCCUUGGGCUCCGGUAACCCAAGGGAAAAAGAGGCUAGGUGGCGAAUGGUAAAACCAAGGUUGGGCAUUGCUGGAAAAGCUUUAAUCAAGUCGAAAUGUCAAGGGGUUCCCAUUAUAACCCAACCGCGUAAGGAACGCAAAAUCCGGGAGCAUAACACUGAUAUGACGGAAACUAGGGCGGCAAGAGUGGAAAAAACACUAGGCGAGAGGCCGAGCCUUCCACCCUUUACCAAGUAUAUAGAUGCAUUAAGAUAACAAGAUAAUAUAAUGAUAUCCCAACAAGUAAAUAAAUGUUCCAACAAGGAACGGCCUUCAAUCUUCACCUGCAACUAGCAACGCUAUAAGAGGGGCUGAGCAAAGCGGUAACAUAGCCAAUCAACGGUUUGCUAGGACAUGGUGGGUUAGAGGUUUGACAUGGCAAUUUGGGAGGAUUGCAAGCAAGUGGUAGGCAUCGUAGCAUUGGCAUAGCAAAAGAGCGAGCAAACUAGCAUAGCAAAGAUAGUAGUGAUUUCGAGGGUAUGAUCAUCUUACCUGCACAGUUGUCAGAGUUGACUGGAUCCUCGAAAGCAAACUCAACGGGCUCCUCGUUAGCGAACUCGUCUCCCGGCUCUAUCCAAACAAGACAAACAAGCAACAAGGAUACAAUCAACCACGUGCAAGACCAAGCAAUAUGAUGCAAUGAUGAUAUGCUAUGCGGAAUGCGAUGCGGGAUGCAAAAUGCAAGAUAUGACAGGAAAUGCAUGAACCUGGCCUCAACAUGGAAAUCCAAGGGUGCCGCUGGAAAGAUGAGAUGAAAUCGCUUGAAAAUGAUAUAAAGAACGCCGGAAUCAGGGUUACGGUUUGGAAAUGGCAAGCGAUUCAAAUAUGACACCGGUCUGCGAUUUACAGCAAGUAGCCAACUAAAUGCAAUGAGAUGAUCAUGCUAUAGCAACCAAACAUCACAACAUAGAUGGCAGGGAUGCACACAAGAUGCUUAACAAAAGUCUAGCACUGAGCUACGGCCAAUUCAUCUAUUAACAGGUUCAAACAAGCAUGGCAAAAAUGCAUAUGGCAAACAGAUCUCAGACUUAGUGAAAUUAACACUUGUCUGGAGUUUCAGAUCAGGUAGCCCUCUUCGGAGCCACAAAACUACAUGCUACAGGACCUGAAAAUGGCAAAGUAAAGCAUAGCAUGGAGCUACUCUAAGAGUUUAACAAAAGUCCCUUAGUGACCUUGAGCAAAAAGGGAUCAGAAAAUACAAUUGCAAGCAUGUGAACAUAGCAAAAACAUAAUCAGUUUUCGGACUUAGUGAAAAUUGGCACAUGCUGAAAUAUAACUCAAGUAGGCAUGUUUACGAGCUCGAUGCACUCACUACGGUGCAAGUCAUGGCAAGACAAGCAUACAUCCAUCAAGAAGGCACAAAAUGCAAGCUAGACAUGGCAAGAACAAAAGCAUAUCAUGCACGGAUCAACUACAACAACAACGGCAAAAUCGCAAACAAGUUGACAAUCUGCCCAGAUUCACAAAGUAGCAAAAGUAGAGCUCGAUUGACUCAACCUAGGGUGCUCCAUAAUUGCAAAUAAAGACAUGGAUAGAUAGAGAACUACAAGAUUAACAAAACUCCCUUACUGAUCAUCCUCAAAAGAGGCACGGAUCACUAGGAAACAACAUGAACAUAUGGCAUCAUGAGAUGAACAGCUCCAGGACUUAGUGAAAUUACUAAGUCCCUGAAAACAGAAUUAGCAAGUGCACCACUUUGCAAGCUUGCACAAGUCACCACACACAUCACAAAAAUACAUGGGUUGCACCUCUGGAAAGAUGACAAAACCCUUAACAAAACACAUGUAGAGCAUCAGGGCAUAGCAUGCACACAAUAAUCAUGGCAAAAAUGACAAAAAACCUAAAUGGAGUAGCAGAUCUGACAAUUAACUCAAGUAGCCCUCUUCUAACAGUAUUUCAGGCAUCAGGAUGAACUCAAAUGAAAAUGAUGCAAUGAAAUGAAAUGAUGUACUCUCUUAGAUGAACAUUUUGAUGUGCUAUAUGCCAAAAAUGGAGCUACGGAGGAGGAGAUACGACAUGAUGAAGAUGAGCACAUGAGCUAAGGUUUGGGCAAAAAAGUCAACCCGAGUCACUCCAGAUCUAGACCCAGCCCGAGCACUGUAGCGGCGACGCGGUUCCCGAUGUUGGUCGGCUUCGUCGCCGGACUUGCCGAAGAAUGCCGGAGCCCACGGGGGAGAUGGCCGGAGGAGGGAGAGGACGGCGAGACAGCGGCUGAGCUGCGGCGGCGGCGGCGNNNNNNNNNNNNNNNNNNNNNNNNNNNNNNNNNNNNNNNNNNNNNNNNNNNNNNNNNNNNNNNNNNNNNNNNNNNNNNNNNNNNNNNNNNNNNNNNNNNNNNNNNNNNNNNNNNNNNNNNNNNNNNNNNNNNNNNNNNNNNNNNNNNNNNNNNNNNNNNNNNNNNNNNNNNNNNNNNNNNNNNNNNNNNNNNNNNNNNNNNNNNNNNNNNNNNNNNNNNNNNNNNNNNNNNNNNNNNNNNNNNNNNNNNNNNNNNNNNNNNNNNNNNNNNNNNNNNNNNNNNNNNNNNNNNNNNNNNNNNNNNNNNNNNNNNNNNNNNNNNGCUCCUGGGCAGCGCGCGGGCAGAGGAGGCGCGGGGCUUCGGGCGGCGGCGCGGUGGCUUCGGGCCUCCGGGGCCCGGCUCGGGCCUGGCGGGCCCGCACGGGUGUGGCGGCGGUGAUGUGGUCCGGGGCGCCCACGUGGCGGCUCCUGGUUGGUGGAGGCGGAUCCGGACGUUGUCCGGCCUGUGUGGACACGUCCGGCGGCGGCGGAGAUGGUUUUUUUUAGGGUUUGACGAGGGGAUCCGAGAUUUGGAAUUGGGGAGGUAUAUAUAGGCAUAGAGGGAGCUAGGAGAGUCCAAAUGAGGUGCGGUUUUCGGCCACGCGAUCGUGAUCAAACGCUCUAGAUGAUGGAGCGGAGUUUGGUGGGUUUUGGGCGAAAUUGGAGGGGUGUUGGGCUGCAACACACACGAGGCCUUUUCGGUCCCUCGGUUAACCGUUGGAGUAUCAAACGAAGUCCAAAUGGUACGAAACUUGACAAGCGGUCUACCGGUAGUAAACCAAGGCCGCUUGGCAAGUCUCGGUCCAAUCCGGAAAUGUUUAAUCCCCACACACGAAAGAAAGGUAGAAAUGACCGCCAGAGGAGAACGAAGCGCCGGAAUGCAAAACGGACAACGGGGAAAAUGCUCGAAUGCAAGAGACGAACACGUAUGCGAAUGCAAUGCACAUGAUGACAUGAUAUGAGAUGCAUGACAACGACAACAACACACGGAGACAAAAACCCGAACCCGAGAAAAAUAAAAUAACUUAACGCCGGAAACGGCAAGAGUUGGAGUACAAAUUGGGAAAGUUACAUCCGGGGUGUUACAACACUCCACCACUACGAAAGGAUAUCGUCCCGAGAUCUAGGACUGAAAGAACGCCGGGUACUCAGAACGUAGGUGAUCCUCGCAUUCCCAGGUAGCUUCACGGUCGGAAUGGUGUGACCACUUGACUUUGAGAAAUUUGAUUGACUUGCUGCGAGUCUUGCGUUCAGUCUCUUCAAGAAUAGCAACUGGGUGCUCACGGUAAGAGAGAUCUUCUUGGAGCUCAAUGUCCUUGAAGUUGACGGUGCGGUCAGGAGUCUUGAAGCACUUUUGAAGCUAAGAGACAUGGAACACGUCAUGAACAUUUGCAAAGUUUGAAGGAAGCUCGAGUUGAUAGGCGAGGUCGCUUCUCUUGCUGACAAUCUUGAAAGGUCCCACGUAUCUGGGAGCAAGCUUCCCUUUGAUACCGAAGCGACGAGUACCUUUCAUAGGAGAGACACGGAGGUACACAUGAUCUCCGAUCUCGAAAGCCAAAUCACGAUGCUUACUAUCAUAGUAGCUCUUCUGACGGGAUUGGGCUGCUUUGAGGUUAUCACGAAUGACUUUGCACAUUUCUUCUGCUUCUGUGAUUAAGUCAUUACCCAAAAGCUGACGUUCACCGGUUUCGGACCAGUUGAGAGGGGUACGACACUUCCUGCCAUACAGAAUUUCAAAUGGGGCCUUGCCCGAACUUGCUUGAAAACUGUUGUUGUAGGAGAAUUCAGCAUAAGGAAGACAAUCCUCCCACUUCAUGCCGAAGGAUAUCACACAAGCCCUGAGCAUAUCUUCAAGAAUCUGGUUGACACGCUCGACUUGACCGCUAGUUUGAGGAUGGAAAGCUAUGCUGAAGUGGAUGUUGGUGCCCAUGGCCUUCUCAAAAGAAUCCCAAAACUUCGAGGUAAAGAUGCUGCCAUGGUCUGAAGAGAUUACUUGUGGGAUACCGUGCAGAGAGACAAAAUGAGAGGUAUAGAGUUCCGCCAAUUGAGCUGCAGUGAUCGACUCUUUGAUAAACAGAAAGUGAGCCACUUUGGUGAGUUUGUCGAUGACAACGAAUAUAGCAUCAUUGCCACGCUUGGACUUUGGAAACCCAGUCACGAAGUCCAUUUCAAUGUGGUCAAACUUCCAUUCUGGAAUGGCAAGAGGUUGGAGGAGACCUGCUGGCCUUUGGUGUUCUGCCUUCACUCUUCUGCAGACAUCACAUUCAUUCACGAAUUGAGCGAUCUCGCGCUUCAUUCGAAUCCACCAAUAAGCCUGUUUAAGGUCCUGAUACAUCUUCGUGCUCCCAGGGUGGAUCAAGAGGAGAGAAUUGUGAGCCUCGUUCAAGAUCACUUUACGGAGGUCACCUUUGGGUAUAACAAUACGAUCCUCGAAGAAGAGAGUGUCCUUGUCAUCAAGGCGGUAGCACUUGUACUUGGACUGACUCUUGGCAAUCCCAAUCUUCACCUUUUUCACCAUAGCAUCAAGAAGUUGGGCUUGGCGAAUCUGGUCUUCUAAGGUAGGAGAGACUUGAAGGUUGGCGAGGAAACCUUGAGGAACAACUUGUAGAUUAAGUUUGCGGAAAGCUUCACAAAGCUCGGGUUGACAAGGCUUAAGAAUCAGACUGUUGCAGUAGGCCUUUCUGCUCAAUGCGUCAUCAAUCACGUUGGCCUUGCCUGGAGUAUACUCAAUACUCGGGUUAUACACUUGAAUCAUUUCGACCCAUCGAGUUUGCCUGAGGUUGAGAUUAGGCUGAGUGAAGAUGUACUUGAGACUCUUGUGAUCAGUGAAAAUGUCCACUUUUCUUCCCAAUAGAAUAUGUCUCCAAGUCAAAAGACCAUGCACAACUGCCGCCAACUCGAGAUCAUGAGUGGGGUAGUUCUUCUCAUUAGGCUUCAACUGGCGAGAGGUAUAAGCAACAACUUUCUUCUCUUGCAUCAAAACUGUGCCAAGACCUUGGAGAGAGGCAUCACAAAAGACCUCGUACGGCUUGGAUUCAUCAGGCGGAGUCAGAACUGGAGCAGUGAUCAAUUUCUCUUUCAAAGUGUUGAAAGCAAUGUCACACUCCGGAGACCAAACGUACUUGACGUGCUUCUGGAGAAGAUUUGAGAGAGGCUUUGCGAUCUUAGAAAAGUUUUCAAUGAAUCUUCGACAAUAGCUUGCGAGACCGAGGAAGCUACGGAGUUGCUUCACAUUCUGAGGAGGUUCCCAAUUCACAAUUGCAGACACCUUCUCAGGAUUCACGGCAAUGCCCUUGGCAGAGAUGAUAUGACCAAGAUAAAGCACUUCAUCGAGCCAAAAUUCACACUUGGAGAACUUGGCGUAGAACUGAUGUUCCCUUAGCUUAUCAAGAACCAAACGCAAGUGCUUGGCAUGAUCUUCCUUAUUCUUCGAGAAAACUAGAAUGUCGUCGAGAUAGACCAAAACGAAGUCAUUGGUGUAGGCGUUGAAGAUGAAGUUCAUCAUGCGAGAGAACGUCGGAGGAGCGUUGACGAGGCCAAAAGACAUGACGGUGUAUUCAUAUGAACCAAAGCUUGUCCUGAAAGCCGUCUUGGUAAUAUCUUGCUCACGGAUUCGAAUCUGAUGAUAACCCAUACGGAGAUCAAGCUUGGAGAAUACAUGGGCACCUUUGAGUUGUUCGAACAGCUCAUUGAUGUUGGGAAGUGGGUAUUUGUUCUUGAUGGUCUUCUUGUUCACUGGACAGUAAUCGACACAAAGUCGGUCCGUUCCAUCCUUCUUCUUCACAAAAAGAACACCACAACCCCACGGAGAAGAACUAGGCCGGAUGAGACCCAUUUUCUCUUGAAUAUCGAGUUGCUUCUUCAGCUCCUUCAACUCUUCAGGUCCGAGCUUGUAAGGACGUUUGCACAUAGGUUCCGUGCCAGGCUCAAGAUCAAUAACGAAUUCAACUGGCCGGUGCGGAGGCAUUCCUGGAAGCUCUUCUAGAAAGACGUCUUGAUAUUCGCAAACGACUGGAAUUUGAGAGAUGGCAUCCAAUUCACCCUUCUCAUUGAGAGAAAACAGACGAAUGGUAUUAUCCCGAGCGGCAAAGACAAUUACAUCCUUAGACGAAUUAGUCAAUUGAAUCUGCCUUGCAGCACAAUCAAGAUGAGCCUUGUGCUUAGAAAGCCAGUCCAUCCCGAGAAUAAGAUCAAUAUCCGAGUUGCCAAGAACCACCGGAGAAGAAAGAAACUUGUAGUCGCCCAACGUGAUAGAGAUAUCAGGAGCAACCAAACUAGAAGUCAAAAGCUUGCCGGGAGAAACAACUUGCAUGACUUUGGGCAUGAUCUCAGUAUCAACAUUGUGCUUCGAUGCAAAAGGGCAUGACAAAAAGGAAUGCAAUGCACCAGUGUCAAAAAGAACUUUUGCAGGAACAUCGUUAACAGGAAGGUUACCCAUGAUGACAUCUGAUGAGUCCUCUGCCUGAGCUGCAUUCAUCAAAUUGACCUUGGCAUGCUUGGUGUUAUGCUUGACCACAGCUGUACUUGCCGAUCUGACAGGAGGAGGAGGAGGAAGACUCCUCUGGUUGAAACACUUGUUGGCAUAGUGACCCUUCUAUUGGCACUUGUUGCAUGCGACCUCUGAAAGCGGACGGUGAUACGGAGCACUCGAUCUUGGAGCUUGAGACAAAGUCUUGUUCUGAAAGCCAGGGUUGGGUGGGUGGGAAGAACCACUGCCACCUUUGCUCUUCUGCUGAUACGACUGACAGAACGGAGGAGGAGGAAGCCAAUACUUCUGCUGCUUGGCCACUUGAGUAGAGGAAGAAGGAGUAACGUCCCUGACUCGCUUCUUGCAAGCAUCACACCUCAACUGAGCAGCCUCUUGCUUCAGUGCCAUGUUGUAGAACUCACCGUAUCUCAAGGGCUCAAAGAGAACAAGAGCUAGCUGAAUUUCUUCUCUGAGACCACCCCUGAACUGAUAUAUCAUGCUCUUCUCAUCAGGGACGUCCUGCUUGGCAAAGCGGGCGAGCUUCUCGAACAACUUGUUGUAGUCAUAGACAGACAAAGAGCCUUGCUUCAGAUUGCGGAAUUCCUCACGAUUGCUUUCAACCACGCUCUGGGGAAUAUGAUGAGCUCGGAAAUCUCGAUGAAAAUCAUCCCAAGUGAUAACACGUCCACCUCUGGAGUCCUUGUACUGCUGGAACCAUUCUGCAGCUUGAUCUUUGAGUUGGAAGGAAGCGAACUUGACAAAGUCCUCAGGCCUGACAUUACUGCACUCGAAAUGCUUACACAGAUCCACAAGCCAAUCGUCAGCAUCGGUUGCCUCAACACAAUUGCUGAAAGUCUUUGGCCCGUUAGCAAGGAACUGGUUGAGUGUAGCAAAGUGAUUCUGAUUGCUGCCUUGAUUCCCUUGGUUGCCUUGAUUGCGCUCUUGAAGAAUUUGCAUGAUCAACUGUGUGUUUGCAUUGGUUGCGGCCAUCACAGCUUGCCAUGCCUCCGGAGGAGGUGGAGGUGGUGGCGGAUCAGGAUUCGGAGUCGUGCGCGUUGGAGGAGCCAUCCCAAACUAGCAAAUCCUACAUCCAGUUGUAUCCAUCCUUCAACACAUAACCAAGAAACCUUCGGAAACCAUCUACCUCAACCUUCGAAAAGCAUCCGUUAUACAAGUUAUGGCGAUACUCCCGAACUCCCGCCCCAGUACUGGGUGGCAUCGAGGUUAUCUCACCAACGAACUGCAUAAAAGAGAUUUUCGAUGUCGGCGUACUAAACUCAGGUAUUCCAGAACUGCAACGAUAAAAUUAUGAUGACAACACCUCAGAGCUCAACUCCCCGGGACACUUCCACUAAACCCCUGAUAGGAGGCACCAAGACAAUGUUCUCAUCAUAAAACCAUCGGAACGACUCCAAGAUACCCGUGUGAUCCUAAAAAAAUUUUAGUGAAAUUUGAGAAGAGAAGAGUCAAAACUCUACGUCAGGAUUCCUUACCAGAGCGAUGAGGAGACUGGGAAGUAAAAAGAAUUCCUAAUAUCUCUGAUAUAUAAUUCCAAAAAGACUCAAAACAUUUUUCUAGACACAACUCGGCCGCUAAUAACGAUCAAGCAAUGGGGCUCCUAAGGUCGGGGAAGGCUCUGAUUACCAACUUGUAACACCCUCGAUGCGACUAUAUCUCCCACGUGUCGAGGCAUGACUGAGAGGCAUAAUCACAUUGAAGGCAUAUGUCGCAAGUAAGGCAAUCUUGACAACAUCCCAUGUAAUAUAAAUAAUAAAGGGGAGAUAACAUAGUUGGUGUACACUCGCCACGUCAAUCAAGGUACAUAAAUAACAUUACAUCAUCCAAAAACUCAUGGCCCGACUACGGCGCCAAAAUAAAAGAUAACCCAACAAGCGACACGGUCCCAAUCACCCCCAACUGGGCACCACUACUGAUCAUCGGGAAAGUAAACAUAGUAACGUUGAGAGUCUUCGCCGAACUCCCACUUGAGCUCAUACGCGUCUCCUGGAGCGGAAUCAUCAGGCCCUGCAUCUGGUGUAAUAGUAAUCUGUGAGCCACAGGGACUCAGCAAUCUCUCACCCUCGCGAUCAAGACUAUUUAAGCUUAUAGGUAAGGCAAGGUAAAAUAUGAGUGGAGCUGCAACAAGCGACUAGCAAGUAUGGUGGCUAACUUAUUUGCAAAAGAGAGCGAGAAGAGGAGGCAAAGCGCGAGCGAGAAACUAGAGAGCAACCUGCGCAAACAUUACUCCAACACCGUGUCCACUUCCCGGACUCCGCCGAGAAGAGGCCAUCACGGUAACACACUCGGUUGAUUCAUUUUAGUUAAGUUAAGGUUCAAGUUAUCUACAACCGGACAUUAACAAAUUCCCAUCUGCCCAUAACCGCGGGCACAGCUUUCGAAAGUUCAAUCCCUGCAGGGGAGUCCCAACUUAGCCCAUGACAAGCUCUCACAGUCAAUGAAGGAAUAGACCUCCUCCCAAGAUGUUCCGAUCAGACUCGGUAUCUCGGUUACUCAAGACACUUCGACAGGUUAAAACAAGACCAGCAACACCGCCCGAAUGUGCCGACAAAUCCCGAUAGGAGCUGCACAUAUCUCGUUCUCAGGGCACACUCAUAUGAGACAUCCUACGAGUAAAACCAACCCUCAAGUUGCCCCGAGGUGGCCCCGCAGUCUACUCGGUCGGACCAACACUCAGAGGAGCACUGGCCCGGGGGGGUUAAAAUAAGAUGACCCAUGGGCUCCGGUAACCCAAGGGAAAAAGAGGCUAGAUGGCGAAUGGUAAAACCAAAGUCGGGCAUUGCUGGAAAAGCUUUAAUCAAGUCGAAAUAUCAAGGGGUUCCCAUUAUAACCCAACCGCGUAAGGAACGCAAAAUCCGGGAACAUAACACCGAUAUGACGGAAACUAGGGCGGCAAGAGUGGAACAAAACACUAGGCAAGAGGCCUAGCCUUCCACCCUUUACCAAGUAUAUAGAUGCAUUAAGAUAACAAGAUAAUAUAAUGAUAUCCCAAUAAGUAAAUAAAUGUUCCAACAAGGAACAACCUUCAAUCUUCACCUGCAACUAGCAACGCUAUAAGAGGGGCUGAGCAAAGCGGUAACAUAGCCAAUCAACGGUUUGCUAGGACAUGGUGGGUUAGAGGUUUGACAUGGCAAUUUGGGAGGCUUGCAAGCAACUGGUAGGCCUCGUAGCAUUGGCAUAGCAAAAGAGCGAGCAAACUAGCAUAGCAAAGAUAGUAGUGAUUUCGAGGGUAUGAUCAUCUUGCCUGCACAGUUGUCAGAGUUGACUGGAUCCUUGAAAGAAAACUCAACGGGCUCCUCGUUAGCGAACUCGUCUACCGGAUCUACCCAAACAAGACAGACAAGCAACACGGAUACAAUCAACCACGUGCAAGACCAAGCAAUAUGAUGCAAUGAUGAUAUGCUAUGCAGAAUGCGAUGCGGGAUGCAAAAUGCAAGAUAUGACAGGAAAUGCAUGAACCUGGCCUCAACAUGGAAAUCCAAGGGUGCCACUGGAAAGAUGAGAUGAAAUCUCUUGAAAACAAUAUGAAGAACGCCGGAAUUGGAGUUACGGUUUGGAAAUGGCAAGCGAUUCAAAUAUGACACCGGUCUGCGAUUUACAGCAAGUAGCCAACUAAAUGCAAUGAGAUGAACAUGCUACAGCAACCAAACAUGACCAAAAAAUACAUGGAAGGGAUGCACACAAGAUGCUUAACAAAAGUCUAGCACUAAGCUACGGCCAAUUCAUCCAUUAACAGGUUCAAACAAGCAUGGCAAAAAUGCAUAUGGCAAACAGAUCUCAGACUUAGUAAAAUUAACACUUGUCUGGAAUUUCAGAUCAGGUAGCUCUCUUCGGAGCCAUAAAACUACAUGCUACAGGACCUGAACAUGGAAAAGUAAAGCAUGACAUGGAGCUACUCAAAGAGUUUAACAAAAGUCCCUUAGUGACCUUGAGCCAAAAGGGAUCAGAAAAUACAAUUGCAAGCAUGUGAACAUAGCAAAGACAUAAUCAGUUUUCAGACUUAGUGAAAACUGGCACAUGCUGAAAUAUAACUCAAGUAGGCAUAUUUAUGAGCUCGAUGCACUCACUACGGUGCAAGUCAUGGCAAGACAAGCAUACAUACAUCAAGAAGGCACAAAAUUCAAGCUAGACAUGGCAAGAACAAAAGCAUAGCAUGCACGGAUCAACUACAACAACACCGGCAAAAUCGCAAACAAGUUGACAAUCUUCCCAGAUUCACAAAGUAGCAAAAGUAGAGCUUGAUUGACUCAAGCUAGAUUGAUACAUAAUUGCAAACAAAGACAUGGAUGGAUAGAUCAGUACAAGAUUAACAAAACUCCCUUAAUGAUCAUCCUCAAAAGAGGCACGGAUCACUAGGAAACAACAUGAACAUAUGGCAUCAUGAGAUGAACAGCUCCAGGACUUUGCAGGCUUGCACAUCACAAAAAUACAUGGGUUGCACCUAUGGAAAGAUGACAAAACCCUUAACAAAACACAUGUAGAGCAUCAGGGCAUAGCAUGCACACAAUAAUCAUGGCAAAAAUGACAAAAACCUAAAUGGAGUAGCAGAUCUGACAAUUAACUCAAGUAGCCCUCUUCUAACAGUAUUUUGGGCAUCAAGAUGAACUCAAAUGAAAAUGAUGCAAUGGAAUGAAAUGAUGUACUCUCUGAGAUGAACAUUUUGAUAUGCUAUAUGCCAAAAACGGAGCUACGGAUGAGGAUAUACGACAUGAUGAAGAUGAGCACAUGAGCUAGGGUUUGGGCAAAAAGUCAACCCGAGUCACUCCGGAUCUAGAAUCGGGGCUCCAAAGGUGUUUUGAACACCAUGGAACAUAUGAGAUGUUCCAAGAGCUGAAAUUGGUAUUUCAGGCUCAUUCUCGUGUUGAGAGGUUUGAGACCUCUAACAAAAUCUUUGCCUACAAGAUGGAGGAUAAUAACUCAGCCAGUGAGCAUGUUCUUAGAAUGUCUGGGUGCUUCUAUCACUUGAAUCAAGUGGGAGUUAAUCUUCCAGAUAAGAGAAUGAUUGACAGAGUUCUCCAGUCACUAUCACCAAGCUGCUAGAGGUUUGUGAUGAACUAUAGCAUGCAAGGGAAGUUGAUCUCGGAGCUGUUCAUCGUGCUUAAGGCCGUGAAGGUAGAAAUCAAGAAGGAGCAUCAAGUGUUGAUGGUUAAGAAGACCACUAGUUUCAAAAAGGGCAAGUGCAAGAAGGGAAACUUCAAGAAUGGCAAGCCAGUUGCCGCUCCAGUGAAGAAACCCAAGAACCCAAACCUGAGACGAAGUGCUUCUAUUAGGGGAACAGUCACUAGUAGCGGAACUGCCUCAAAUACUUGGUAGAUAAGAAGGCUGGCAACUUCAACAAAAGUAUAUUUGAUAUAUAUGUUAUUGAUGUGUACCUUACUAGUAUUCCUAGUAGCACCUGGGUAUUAGAUACCGGUUCAGUUGCUAAGAUUGGUAACUCGAAACAAAAGCUAUGGAAUAAACGGAGACUAGCUAAGGGCAAGGUGAGAUGUAUGUUGGAAGUGUUUCCAAGGUUGUCGUGAUCACCAUCGCACGCUCCCUCUACCUUCGGGAUAAGUUGAACCCAGAUAAAUGUUGUUUGCAUUGUUGUCUGCGUUGAGCAUGAACAUGAUUAGAUCAUGUUUAUUGCAAUACGGUUAUUCAUUUAAGUCAAAGAAUAAUGGUUAUUCUGUUUACAUGAGUAACACCUUCUGUGGUCAUGCACCCAAUGUGAAUGGUUUAUUGAAUCUCAGUCGUAGUGAUACACAUGUUCAUAACAUUGAUGCAAAAAGAUAUAGAGUUGAUAAUGAUAGUACCACUUUCUUGUGGCACUGCCGCUUAGGUCAUAUUGGUGUAAAGCGCAUGAAGAACCUCCAUGCCGAUGGACUUUUGGAGUCACUUGAUUUUCAAUCACUUGACACAUGCGAACCAUGCCUCAUUGGCAAGAUGACUAAAACCCCGUUUUGUUUGUAACAAUGGAAUGGGUAAGUGACUUGUUGGAAAUCAUACAUGCUGAUGUGUGUGAUCCGAUGAGUAUUGACGCAUGCGGUGGAUAUCGUUAUUUUCUCACCUUCACUGAUGAAUUGAGUAGAUAUGGCUAUAUUUACUUAAUGAAGCAUAAGUCUGAAAUGUUUGAAAAGUUCAAGCAAUUUUAGAGUGAAGUUGAGAAUCAUCAUAACAAGAAGAUCAAGUUCCUACAAUCUGAUCAAGGGGAGAGUAUCUGAGUUAUGAGUUUGGCAAUCACUAAAGACAAGGUGGAAUCGUUUCAUAGUUGACGCCACCUAGAACACCAUAGUGUAAUGGUGUGUCCGAAUGUCGUAAUCGCACCCUAUUGGAUAUCAUGCGAUAUAUGAUGUCUCUUAUCGAUCUACCGCUAUCAUUUUGGGGUUAUGCAUUAGAGACAAUUAGAUUCACUUUAAAUAGGGCACCAUCUAAGGCCAUGGAGACGACCCCGUAUGAACUAUGGUUUGCCAAGAAAACUAAGUUGUUGUUUCUUAAGGUUUGGGGCUACGAUGCUUAUGUCGAUAGGCUUCAGCCAGAAAAGCUCGAACCCAAAGCGGAAAAUUGUGUCUUCGUAGAAUACCCAAACAAGACGAUUGGGUCUACCUUCUAUCUCAGACCUGAGGCAAAGUAUUUGUUGCUAUGAACAUGUCCUUUCUCAAGAAAGAGUUUCUCUCGAAGGAAUUGAGUGGGAGGAUAAUAGAACUUGAUGAGGUUGUUGAACCUUUACUUCAACCAGAGAGUAGCGCAACACAGAAAGAUUUUUCUAUGGCACCUACCUCAGUUGAAGAGAAAGCUAAUGAUGAUGAUCAUGGAGCUUCAGAUCAAGUUACUAUCGAACCUCGUAGGUCAACAAUGGUGUGUACAACUUCUAAGUGGUAACCCUGUCUUAAAGGUCAUGUUGUUGGAUAACGAUGAACCUAUGAUCUAUGAAGAAGCUAUGGUGGGCCUGGAUUCCAACAGAUGACUGGAAGCCAUGAAAUCCGAGAUAUGAUCCAUGUAUGAGAACAAAGUACGGACUUUGGUGGACUUGCCCACUGAUCGGCAAGCCAUUGAGAAUAAAUGGAUCUUUAAGAAGAAGACAGACACUGAUGGUAUUGUCACCAUUUAUGAAGCUCGAUUUGUCUCAAAGAAGUUUCCGACAAGUCCAAGGAGUUGACUGAGACUUUGUCAAUCAUAGCGAUGCUAAAGUAUGUUAGAAUUAUGUUAGCAGUUGCUGCAUUUUCAUUUAUGAAAUCUGGCAGAUGGUUGUCAAAACAAAGUUUCCUUGACGGUUUUUGUGAGGAUAGGCUUUAUGUGAUACAACCAUAAGGUUUUGUCGAUUCUAAGGAUGCUAAAAGGUAUGCAAACUCCAGCGAUCCUUCUAAGGAGUGGAGCAAGCAUCUCGGAGUUGGAACAUACGCUUUGAUGAGGUGAUCAAAGCAUUUGGGUUUAUACAAAGUUUGCAAGAAACUUGUAUUUGCAAGAAUGUGAGUGGGAGCACUACAACAUAUUGAUACGUAUAUGUGGAUGACAUAUUAUUGAUUGAAAAUGAUUUAGAAUUUUUGGAAAGCAUAAAGGGUUGGUUGGAUGGAGUUUUUCAAAGGAGGACCUGUGUAAAACUGCUUACAUGUGGGUAUCAAGAUCUAUAGAGAUAGAUCAUGACGCCUGAUAAGACUUUCAUAGAGCACAUACCUUGACAUGAUCUUGAAGGAGUUCAAGAUGGAUCAAUCAAAGGAGUUCUUGCCUGAGUUGUAAGGUGUGAAGUUAUGAUGAGGACAUCAAUACCAUUGUUACACCCACAGCCCCUGCUGCUAUACAUACUGGACCAAUUACUAGAGCUCGUGCACGUCAAUUAAAUUUUGAGGUACUUUCGUUUCUUGGUAAUGAUUCUAAUGUUCAUGAGAAUAUGAUGCUGCCUAAAUUGGGUACAUUUGUUUUGCUUACAAAUGAAGGGCCUGUCAUGGAUAAGAGGGUUGAACAUUGGAGCAAGACCAAGCAUGGAGAUGAUGGCAUGCGCAGGGGAUCAAGAACGGAGUUACAAGUGAUGAUUUCAGGACUUUGAAGCCACCAUAAGGAGUGCAUGAAGCAUUGGACGAAAUAUACAAGAUGCCACUUCAUAAAUUUCGUCUAGAGGCUAUUCUAGGUGCUGCGUCACCUUAUUAUUGGGCUAGGCCCAUAUAUUUUCGAAAUACUUAAGUAUCAACUGUUUUUGGAGUCCGUAUGUGUGGGGAAACAAGAGUUAGGGUUGGUUUCGGACCCCUCCUCCAAGGGCCACGAAAUCCCCCCCCCUCUUCCUCCAUAUAUACAGCCCUUAGGGCGUCAUUUAGACUUCGGGUUUUGUUUAGAUUAAAGUUUGUCAUAGCUGCAACUUCGCAUACUUCGUUUAUGUUCAACGACCAGACAAAGGCGUCAUAGAACCCCACCUUGAUCAAUAAAGUUUUCCUCUUAUAUUCACAAUAUCCAGAUUGAAAUCUUAGUUUCUUGCUAGUUCUUCAUUUGCCUGCAGGAAACAGACCUUCGUGGUCAGGUUGAUCGUGCUCCGGCGUGGUCAAUAACCUCUCGGAGUUGGUUUCGCGAUUCCUAAGGCACGACGUCCCCACACGUUCGUAGUCGGAUCGUCAAAGUCGGCUUCCACCAAAAUGAUAGCCACCAUCUCAUCGAAAGACGGGACACCUUUGCCUCUAUCAAGUGGUAUCAGAUUUCUAGGUUGCUCGGUGAGAUUUUACAGUUUUUCGUAGUUUAGGUCGAGUCUGUUCUUCAUACCUAUAGUCCAUGAAAAAGCCAAAAAAAUAGGGUUAGGUCAUCAUAUCCGAAUCAAUCGGAGCUUUUGCAUAGUCUUUUUUAGAGUUUUGCUUUGUUGAAUUUGUGGUUGCAUCGUCGUGUCGAGUUGCUGGUCUUAGUCUCUAGUCCCUUAGAGUUUCGUGUUCUGUUCACAGGUUGUCACGCCGCUGCCGCACCAUCGUCAUCAUCAUUACCAUAUACCACCACCCCACCAUAUACAUCGCCGCUGCCAUAUACAACCACCAGUCUGAGUCCACAUAUACCAUCGCCAUAUACAACCAUCAAUCCGAGUCCACAUAUACCAUCGUCAUAUACAACCACCAGUCCGAGUUCCACCAGAUUCAUCUCCGCCACCAGUCCUAGUCCGAGUCCAGUAUUUGUUGCUUUGUUUUCGCGUUCCAGAUCACGCAAUACUUCGAGUCGUGACCAAGUCAGACUCCCCAACUUCUGUGCUAUCCGCAGUAGAAAAAUAGUUCCAAACUAAAAAAAACUAAGUCUGGAAAAUUCUGGCUAGGCAGGCUUUAGACCAUUUGUAAACUUUUUCGAAAAAAAUUUGUUGCGGAGCAAAAAAGAGAGGAAAAAAGUGCAACAAAAAUUGAAAAAAUGGGAAAAAAUUAGAGUGUGCUCCUCCCUUGUUUACGUGCAACGCCGUGAUUUUGUUAGUGUUCUAGGCUCGCGUCUCUAGCACGGUCUAGCCUAGGACCAGCACAGUACCGUCGUUGAGCGUUUAUUCACCUUAACAUCUCUGAAUUGAUUAUUGCUGACCCUUUUGCCACCAUAUUAUAAGCCUUCCCAGCUCCACAUACAUCUACGUCGUGCGUUUGACUCUCCCUGGUAAUCGCUCUAUCCAAGCAUUGAGAGUUUUGACUACGACGGUUGCCGAUCACCGCCUGCUGCUAGGUAAGAACUGGUAAGAAUUUGAGAUUUGCUUGACGGAUUUGUGACACCCACCACCACCUCUUGUUAGUAGUCUGUAGGAUCAUAUUCUUGUGUGAUUCUGUUGCUGCUAACCAUGGCAGGAUCACAAGCUGACGAGACUGACUGGGAGAACAUGACGAAUAAGGAGUUGCAUGAUAAAUUUUAGCAAACGAUGAGUGGACAGGUGCAAGAUGCGCUAAACAGAUUUGAAGUGGCCAUGGAGAAGAUAGAUGGCAUGGAGAAGACAUUCGAAACAAAGAUUGAUAACAAGUUUAAUGAAUUGCUCGCGCGUCUUCCACCACCGCCACCACCACCACCGGCUGCACCUCUACAACAACAACAACAACAACAACAACGACUACCACCACAUCGCAAAACAGCCCUCCGCCAAGCGAGCCAUGUCCCUCUUGCGCCUGGCCAAACUGUUGGUGCUGCUGUUGAUACUUCUGUGGCUCCUGCUGCUGAUGCGGAGGAGGAUGAUUAUGCAGGAGAUUACGAGGAUGAGGUUGAUCGAAAUCAGAACUACGUGCAACCACCAGCACCACAACCACCAGGUCGUCCACAUGCAAAUAAUGGCAAUGGUAGGGUUCCUCCUCAGGUACGAGAUCCUGACCAUCUCCCUAAACUGAAAUUGAAUAUUCCAACAUUUGAGGGUAGAUAUAUUCCUGAUAUAUAUAUCUUACUUGGGAGUUAGAAACUGAACAACGAUUUACAUGUUUACAAUAUCCUGAGGAGAGACGUGUUCCUGCUGCUGUUUGUGCUUUCACUAGCUUUGCAUGUGUUUGGUGGUCUGAACAUUGUAGAUUAUAUCCUAUUCUAGCUACUUGGGCUGCUUUGAAAACUGCUAUGCGUACUCGUUGGGUUCCACCAUAUUAUCAACGUGAAUUAAUUCAAAAAUUGCAGCGUUUAAGACAAGGAAAUUUUUUUGUAGAAGAAUAUUAUCAGGAAUUACAAACUGGCAUGAUUAGAUGUGGUAUUAUUGAGGAGAAUGAAGCUAUGCUUGCAUGUUUUAUGGGUGGAUUAAAUAGAGAGAUUCAGACCAUUCUAGUGUAUAAGGAGUAUAAUAAUAUCACUCGUUUAUUACAUCUUGCUUGUAAAGCUGAACGUGAAGUGCAUGAUCGACAAGCAUUGGCGUGAACUAACUUUUCUGUAGGUCAAUUUUCAUCAUGGACACCACGUGCAUCCUCUACUUCCUCUACACCAGCACCUCCAUCAGGUGCCACCUCGAGCUGUGAUACAAGAAAGCAGGCACAACCACCACUAUCUGCCAAGAGCACACCUAUCGGGCCUGCGCAGAGUUCUUCUUUCGUGGCAUCAAUAGGGCACACAAGUGAUAUUAUUUGUAGUCGUUGUAAGGGAAGAGGACAUUUUGCGAGAGAAUUCAAAUCUCAGCGUGUGAUGAUUGCUAUUGAAGAUGGUGGCUAUGAGUCCGCUAGUGACUAUGAUGAGGAGACUUUGGCUCUUAUUACACGUGACGAACACAGUGUAGAUGAUUCUGAUCAUGAGACGCAAUACAUGGCUCCUGAAGACACUGACAGGUCUAAAUGUUUAGUUUCUCAAUGUGUUUUCAGAGCGCAGGUUACACAAGCUGAGCAAAAUUAGAGGCAUAAUUUGUUCCAUACAAAGGGAGUUGUGAAGGAAUGUUCUGUUCGCGUCAUCAUAGUUGGAGGGAGCUGCAACAACUUGGCUAGCAUGGAGAGGGAGGAGAAGCUAUCUCUCACCACAAGACCACAUCCACAUCGUUCCUACAUCCAAUGGUUCAACAACAGCGGCAAUGUUAAGGUAACACGUACUGUUCGUGUGCAUUUUAGUAUCUCUACAUAUGUUGAUUAUGUUGAUUGUGAUGUGGUACCCAUGCAAGCAUGUUCCUUAUUACUUGGUAGACCAUGGCAAUUUGAUAAAAAAUAUGUACACCAUGGUAAGAACAAUCAGUAUACUCUUGUUCAUAAGGAUAAAAAUAUUACUUUUCUUCCAAUGACUCCUGAUUCCAUUUUGAAAGAUGAUAUUAAUAGAGCUAAUAAAGCAAAACAGGAGCAAAAUAAGAGAGAAAAUCAGAUUGUGGAAAAAGCAUUUGAGCAAAAAAUGAAGCCUAAUAAUAAACCAUCUAGUGUUGCUUCUAAAAUUAAAUUGAAAAGUGCAUGUUUACUUCCACCAAAUAUGAUAUUGAUGAUCUAGAUUUUAGCAAAUCUAUUUGCUAUGCUUUUGUGUGCAAAGAGGCAUUAUUUUCAUUCGAGGACAUGCCUUCCUCUUUGCCUCCUGCUGUCACUAACAUUUUGCAGGAGUUCGCUGACGUCUUUCCACAAGACGUGCCACUGCGAUUACCACCUAUUCGAGGGAUUGAGGAUCAAAUUGACUUAAUUCCCGGUGCAUCAUUAUCCAACUGUGCACCAUACCGUACCAAUGCAGAGGAGAUGAAGGAGAUUAUGCGUCAAGUACAGUAGCUGCUCGACAAAGGUUAUAUACGCGAAUCCCUUAGUCCUUGUGUUGUUCCUGUCAUUUUAGUGCCGAAAAAGGAUGGUACAUCGCGUAUGUGUGUUGAUUGUAGUGGCAUUAAUAAUAUUACUAUUCGUUAUCGUCAUCCUAUUCCUAGGCUAGACGACAUGCUUGGUGAAUUGAGUGGCUCUACAAUAUUCUCUUGAUUUGCAUAGUGGAUACCAAUAAAUUCGUAUGAAAUUGGGAGACGAAUGGAAAACAACAUUUAAAACUAAGUUUGGAUUAUAUGAGUGGUUAGUCAUGCCUUUUGGCUUAACUAAUGCACCUAGUACUUUCAUGAGGUUAAUGAACGAAGUUUCACGUGCUUUCAUUAGACGAUUUGUGGUAGUCUAUUUUGAUGAUAUAUUGAUUUAUAGUAAAUCUUUGGAGGAACAUUUGGAACAUUUACAUGUUGUUUUUAUUGUUCUACGUGAUGCACAUUUGUUUGGUAACCUUGGAAAGUGCACCUUUUGAACCGACCGAGUAUCUUUUCUUAGCUAUGUUGUUACUCCACAGGGAAUUAAAGUUGAUAAAGCCAAGAUUGAAGCUAUUAAGAGUUGGCGGCAGCCCAAAACGGUGACACAAGUGAGGAGUUUCCUUGGCCUCACUAGUUUCUAUAGGCGUUUUGUGAGAGAUUUCAGCACCAUUGUUGCACCUCUCAACGAGCUUACAAAGAAGGAUGUGCCUUUUGUUUGGGGUACCCACAGGAAGAAGCCUUCACGGUAUUGAAAGGUAAGUUGACACAUGCUCCUUUACUCCAACUUCCUGAUUUUAAUAAGACUUUUGAGCUUGAAUGUGAUGCUAGUGGAAUUGGAUUAGGAGGUGUGUUAUUACAAGAUGGCAAACUUGUUGCAUACUUUUCUAAAAAAUUGAGUGGGCCUAGUCUGAAAUAUUCUACUUAUGAUAAAGAAUUAUAUGCUCUUGUUCGGACCUUAGAAACAUGGCAACAUUAUUUAUGGCCAAAGGAAUUUGUUAUACAUUCUGAUCAUGAACCUUCGAAACAAAUUAAAAGUCAAGAAAAACUGAACCAUAGACAUGCUAAGUGGGUUGAAUUCAUUGAGACUUUCCCAUAUGUCAUUAAACACAAGAAGGGUAAAGAAAAUGUUGUUGCUGAUGCAUUGUCUCAUCGUUAUACUAUGCUUUCACAACUUGACUUUGAAAUAUUUGGUUUGGAGACCAUCAAAGAUCAAUAUGUGCAUGAUGAUGAAUUUAAAGAUGUAUUGUAGAAUUGUAAGGAAGGGAGAACUUGGAACAAGUUCGUUCUUAAUGACGGAUUUGUGUUUCGUGCUAACAAGCUAUGCAUUCCAGCUAGUUCUGUUCGUCUUUUGUUGUUACAGGAGGCGCAUGGAGGAGGAUUAAUGGGACAUUUCAGCGUCAAGACGACGGAGGAUAUACUUGCUACAAAUUUCUUUUGGCCAAAGAUGAGACGGGAUGUUGAGCAUUUUGUUGCUCGCUGCACUACAUGUCAAAAAGCUAAGUCACGACUCAAUCCUCAUGGUUUAUAUAUGCCUUUGCCUGUACCUAGUGUUCCUCGGGAGGAUAUAUCUAUGGACUUUGUUUUAGGUUUAUAUCCUUGGGAGGGAUAUCCUUGGGAGGAUAUAUCCUUGUGAGGGGUAGCAUAUUUGUUGUCGUGGAUAGAUAUUCGAAAAUGGCGAACUUUAUACCAUGUCAUAAAAGCGAUGAUGAUGUCAAUGUUGCUGAUUUGUUCUUUUGUGAAAUUAUUCGCUUGCAUGGUGUGCAAAAUACUAUUGUUUCAGAUCAUGAUACUAAAUUUCUUAGCCACUUUUGGAGAUGUUUAUGGGCUAAGUUGGGGACAAAACUACUUUUAGUACUACUUGUCACCCCCAAACUGAUGGACAAACUGAAGUAGUCAAUAGAACAUUGUAUACUAUGCUUAGGGCUGUUUUGAAGAAUAAUAAGAAAAUGUGGGAAGAAUGAUUGCCUCAUAUUGAAUUUUCUUAUAAUCGUUCAUUUCAUUCUACUACUAAGAUGUGCCCUUUUGAAAUUGUGUAUGGUUUCCUACCUCGUGCACCUAUUGAUUUGUUGCCUCUUCCAUCUUUAGAGAAGGUUAAUUUUGAUGCUAAAGAACGUGUUGAAUUGAUCUUAAAAAUGCAUGAGUUAACUAAGGAAAACAUUGAGCGUAUGAAUGCUAAAUAUAAACUUGCUGGAGAUAAGGGUAGAAAACAUGUUGUUUUUGCACCUGGAGAUCUUCUUUGGUUACAUUUGUGUAAGGAUAGAUUUCCUAAUUUGCGCAAAUCAAAGCUAAUGCCACGUGCUGAUGGUCCUUUUAAGGUGUUAGAGAAAAUAAAUGACAAUGCAUAUAAAUUUGAAUUGCCUGUAGAUUUUGGGGUUAGUCCCACUUUUAACAUUGCACAUUUGAAGCCUUAUUUGGGUGAGGAAGAUGAGCUUCCAUCAAGGAUGACUUCAUUUCAAGAAGGGGAGGAAGAUGAGGGCAUCAAGACCUUUGUUACACCCAGAGCCCCUGCUGCUAUACAUACUGGACCAAUUACUAGAGCUCGUGCACGCCAAUUAAAUUAUCAGGUACUUUCGUUUCUUGGUAAUGAUUCUAAUGUUCAUGAGAAUAUGAUGCUGCCUAAAUUGGAUACAUUUGUUUUGUUUACAAAUGAAGGGCCUGGCAUGGAUACGAGGGAUGAACACUGGAGCGAGACCAAGCAUGGAGAUGAUGGCAUGCGCAAGGGGAUCAAGAACGGAGUUACAAGUGAUGAUUUCAGGACUUCGAAGCCACCAUAAGGAGUGCAUGAAGCAUUGGAUUAAAUAUACAAGAUGCCACUUCAUAAAUUUCGUCUAGAGGCUAUUCUAGGUGCUGCAUCACCUUAUUAUUCGGCCAGACCCAUGUAUAGGCUCUUUUUAGAGUCCGUAUGUGUGGGGAAACAAGAGUUAGGGUUGGUUUCGGACCCCUCCUCCAAGGGCCACAAAAUUCCCCCCUCUUCCUCCAUAUAUACAUCCCUUAGGGCGUCGUUUAGACUUCGUGUUUUGUUUGGAUUAAAGUUCGUCAUAGCUGCAACUUCGCGUACUUCGUUUGUGUUCAACGACCAGAUAAAGGCGUCAUUGAACCCCACCUUGAUCAAUAAAGUUCUCCUCUUAUAUUCACAAUAUCUAGAUUGCAAUCUUAGUUUCUUGCUUGUUUUUCGUUUGCCUGGAGGAAACAGACCUUCGCGGUCAGGUUGAUCGUGCUACGGCGUGGUCAAUAACCUCUCGGAGUUUGUUUAGUGAUUGCUAAGGCGCGACGUCCUCGCACGUUCGUUGUCGGAUCGUCAAAGUCAACGUCCACCAAAACGAUAGCCACCAUUUCAUCGAAAGACGAGACACCUUUGCCUCUAUCAAGUUAAGACUUGAAGCUCGACCACGGCGGAAGAAAGAGAAAGGAGGAAAGUCGUUCCCUAUGCCUUAGCCCUAGGCUCUAUACGAUAUGUCAUGCUGUGUACCGUGAUGUGCCUUGCCACGUGUCUGGCAAGGGGGUAUAAGAGUGAUCCAGGAGUGGAUCAUUGGACAGUGGUCAAAAUUAUCCUUAGGAAUAAGGAAAUGUUUCUCGAUUAUGGAGGUGAUGAAGAGUUCAGUGUAAAGGGUAAUGUCGAUGCAAGCUUUAACACCUAUCUGAAUGACUCUAAGUAGAGAACCGGAUACGUAUAGUGGAGCAACCAUUUGGAAUAGCUCCAAGUGAAGCAUAGUAGCAACUUCUACAAUAUGAAAUAGAGAUUUCCAAAGAACACAUGGAUCUGAAUGUUGCAGACCCGUUGACUAAAACCUCGCGCAUAAGCAUAACAUGAUCAAACCCGAGAACUCAUUGAGUGUUAAUCACGUGGUGAUGUGAACUAGAUUAUUGACUCUAGUAAACUCUUGGGUGUUAAUCACAUGGUGAUGUGAACUAGAUUAUUGACUCUGGUAAACUCUUUGGGUGUUAGUCACAUGGCGAUGUGAACUACGAGUGUUAAUCACAUGGCAAUGUGAACUAGAUUAUUGACUCUAGUGCAAGUGGGAGACUUUGGAAAUAUGCCCUAGAGGCAAUAAUAAAAUGGUUAUUAUUAUAUUUCCUUGUUCAUAAUAAUUGUAUAUUGUUCAUUCUACAGAUGUAUUAACCGGAAACCGUAAUACAUCUGUGAAUACAUAGACCACAACAUGUCCCUAGUAAGCCUCUAGUUGACUAGCUCGUUGAUCAAUAGAUGGUUAUGGUUUCCUCAGCAUGGACAUUGGAUGUCGUUGAUAACGGGAUCACAUCAUUAGGAGAAUGAUGUGAUGGACAAGACCCAAUCCUAAGCAUAGCACAAAAUCGUGUAGUUCGUUUGCUAAAGCUUUUCUAAUGUCAAGUAUCAUUUCCUUAGACCAUGAGAUUGUGCAACUCCCGGAUACCGUGUGAAUGCUUUGGGUGUACCAAACGUCACAAUGUAACUGGAUUGCUAUAAAGGUUCACUACAGGUAUCUCCGAAAGUAUCUUUUGGGUUGGCACGAAUCGAGACUGGGAUUUGUCACUCCAUAUGACGGAGAGGUAUCUCUGGGCCCACUCAGCAAUGCAUCAUCAUAACGAGCUCAAUGUGACUAAGGAGUUAGCCACGGGAUCAUGCGUUAUGGAACGAGUAAAGAGACUUGCCGGUAACGAGAUUGAACGAGGUAUAGAGAUACCGACGAUCGAAUCUCGCACAAGUAACAUAUCGAUGGACAAAGGGAAUUGUAUACGGGAUUGAUUGAAUCCCCGACAUCAUGGGUCAUCCGAUGAGAUCAUCGUGGAACAUGUGGGAGCCAAUAUGGGUAUCCAGAUCUCACUAUUGGUUAUUGGCCGGAGAGAUGUCUCAGUCAUGUCUGCAUGGUUCCCGAACCCGUAGGGUCUACACACUUAAGGUUCGGUGACGCUAGAGUUGUUAUGGGAAAUAGUAUGUGGUUACCGAAUGUAGUUCGGAGUCCCGCAUGAGAUCUCGGACAUGACGAGGAGUUCCGGAAUGGUCCGGAGGUGAAGAUCGAUAUAUUGGACAAAGGGUAUUGGAGUCCGGAAGUGUUCCGGGGGUACCGGGCUAUGGCCAGCCUGACCGAAAGGAGCAUCCCGAGGUCAUCCCCAUGGACCUACCAUUGCCUCACCAAGUCCCUAGUGGACCCAUGACACGAGCACGUGCAAGAGCUCUUGAAACCGAGGUGACAUCUCUCCUCUCACACUUCCACUUCAAUACACAUGAGACAUGGCUACUACCUCAAACGGAGACAUUGUGCAUACUCAGGUAUCUAGGAGUUGGCCAUGAAGGAGCUAAGGAGCUAGGAGAAAAAGAAGAGGAAGAUGGACGUGAAGACGGAGAACAAGAAGAAAUGUGGAAGAAGCUACAGGUUCUGGAUGACCGACCUGGACCGGACGUCCGACGAUCUCCAGGCUCCGGACAUCCGACCCAGACCGGACGUCCGACACCUCCUCACCCGAGCCAAAACUGCGGAAUUCCGAGGCCUCCCAGAUGACUGACGCCCGGACGACCGACCCUGACAGGACGUCCGACCGAAGCAUACCCGAGCCGAAUCUAUGGACGUCCGAUAGGAACCGUACGUCCGGACCCUCGCUAGCCUCCGGACGACCGACGCCUGUGCGUUGCCAUGUGUUGGGCCGCAACCCAUGUACCCCCCACUUCGCCCCUUUUUGCACUAAGACUAUAAAUAGACCCCCUAUUCCUCCUAGCUAGGGUUAUCAUUGGUUUGGCUCAUUUUAGAGAUAGAGCAUUGCUCAUCCACAUCGGAUCUACUCCACGAGAGAGACCACGACCCCUCUUUGGAGAAGAUCCCCUUAGAUUCAAGACCCCUCUAAGGGAAGAUCCCUUCGUGGAUUCAAGACCUCCUCAUGGAGAAGACCGGCUACCUUUUGUAUCGUCCCUAGUUGACCGUGUAUCUUGUGAUCUCAUAUGUACUCGAGGAUCUAGCACAUGUGUGACUAUUUCUUGUUGGUUUAGUGUUUCUCUUGUGUUUCCCCCGUGUUUUCCCUCGUUUCCCUCCUCGUGUUCUUUGUGAGAUCUGCUCCUUUCGUGAAAGAUCGGACGAUUAGGGUUCUUCCCUACAUCAUCUUGGUAUCUAGAGCCACGUUGAUCAUGAUUUCGGAGCCUCCCUGUUGUGUUGCUAGCCUAGUUUUUGUUGAUUUUGUCCCUAAUUCGAAAAUUCCCCACAAAAAUAGCC
rnacentral:lncRNA from 1 species